CCUACGGGGUGCAGCAGUGAGGAAUAUUGGUCAAUGGACGGAAGUCUGAACCAGCCACGCCGCGUGCAGGAAGACGGCUCUAUGAGUUGUAAACUGCUUUUGUACAAGGGUAAACCUGAAUACGUGUAUUCAGCUGAAAGUACUGUACGAAUAAGGAUCGGCUAACUCCGUGCCAGCAGCCGCGGUAAUACGGAGGCUCCAAGCGUUAUCCGGAUUCAUUGGGUGUAAAGGGUGCGUAGGCGGAGUGAUAAGUUAGAGGUGAAAAGUCCGGGCUUAACUCGGGAACUGCCUCUAAUACUGUUGAGCUAGAGAGUAGAUGCGGUAGGCGGAAUGUAUGGUGUAGCGGUGGAAUGCUUAGAGAACAUAGAGAACACCGAUUGCGAAGGCAGCUUUCCAAGAUAUAUCUGACGUUGAGGCACGAAAGCGUAGGGAGCAAACAGGAUUAGAUACCCGAGUAGUC
rnacentral:rRNA from 1 species